rnacentral:rRNA from 1 species
AUUGAACGCUGGCGGCAGGCCUAACACAUGCAAGUCGAGCGGAUGAAGGGAGCUUGCUCCUGGAUUCAGCGGCGGACGGGUGAGUAAUGCCUAGGAAUCUGCCUGGUAGUGGGGGAUAACGUCCGGAAACGGGCGCUAAUACCGCAUACGUCCUGAGGGAGAAAGUGGGGGAUCUUCGGACCUCACGCUAUCAGAUGAGCCUAGGUCGGAUUAGCUAGUUGGUGGGGUAAAGGCCUACCAAGGCGACGAUCCGUAACUGGUCUGAGAGGAUGAUCAGUCACACUGGAACUGAGACACGGUCCAGACGCCUACGGGAGGCAGCAGUGGGGAAUCUUGAGCAAUGGGCGAAAGCCUGACGGAGCAACGCCGCGGGUGUGAAGAAGGUCUUGGGAUCGUAAAGCUCUUUGAUUAGGGAAGAAGAACAGUGAAAGAAAACUUGCUUGUUUUGACGUUACCAAAUAAGAAAGCCACGGCUAACUACGUG